AAGAAGUCAGGCCACUACAAGUGCCACAGCUUGAGCAAACUGUGCAGCCUGUAGCUCCACCUGGGAAGGUGUAAAAAAUCUGGGAGGCCACAAACCAUGGAAGCUGUACGCAUGGCGUAGUGGACUAGCGGUUAGAGGAGACCCCUCCCUUGCAAGUCGCAGCAACAAUGGGGGCCCAAGGUGAGAUGAAGCUGUAAUCUCACUGGAAGGACUAGAGGUUAGAGGAGACCCCCCCGAAAUAAAAAACAGCAUAUUGACGCUGGGAAAGACCAGAGAUCCUGCUGUCUCCUCAGCAUCAUUCCAGGCACAGAACGCCAGAAAAUGGAAUGGUGCUGUUG
rnacentral:lncRNA from 1 species